rnacentral:rRNA from 1 species
GAUGAACGCUGGCGGCGUGCCUAAUACAUGCAAGUCGAGCGAACGGACGAGAAGCUUGCUUCUCUGAUGUUAGCGGCGGACGGGUGAGUAACAAGUGGAUAACCUACCUAUAAGACUGGGAUAACUUCGGGAAACCGUAGCUAAUACCGGAUAAUAUUUUGAACCGCAUGGUUCAAAAGUGAAAGACGGUCUUGCUGUCACUUAUAGAUGGAUCCGCGCUGCAUUAGCUAGUUGGUAAGGUAACGGCUUACCAAGGCAACGAUGCAUAGCCGACCUGAGAGGGUGAUCGGCCACACUGGAACUGCGACACGGUCCAGACUCCUACGGGAGGCAGCAGUAGGGAAUCUUCCGCAAUGGGCGAAAGCCUGACGGAGCAACGCCGCGUGAGUGAUGAAGGUCUUCGGAUCGUAAAACUCUGUUAUUAGGGAAGAACAUAUGUGUAAGUAACUGUGCACAUCUUGACGGUACCUAAUCAGAAAGCCACGGCUAACUACGUG